ACCUUUUGUAGAGGUGCUUUAAGUCAAGAGUAACCGUUUGGAGUUGGCAAACUUAGAUGAACGGUAAAAGGGGCUUUUAGCCGAAGCAUUUAGAUUGGCAGAUUUAUUUGCUGGCUUUUCAUACAACAUAUGAAUGGCUGUCACUUUAUUAGUUAGUUAUUAGGUAAGUGGAGCGCUACAAGGUAC
rnacentral:ncRNA from 2 species